rnacentral:rRNA from 1 species
UACGUAGGCAGCAAGCGUUGCUCGGAAUUACUGGGCGUAAAGAGUGUGUAGGCGGUGCUCCAAGUCUGGUGUGAAAUCUCCCGGCUUAACUGGGAGGGUGCAUUAGAAACUGGAAUGCUAGAGGAUGGGAGAGGUAAGCGGAAUUCCUGGUGUAGCGGUGAAAUGCGUAGAUAUCAGGAGGAACACCUGUGGUGUAGACAGCUUACUGGACCAUUUCUGACGCUGAGACACGAAAGCGUGGGUAGCAAACAGG